rnacentral:tRNA from 1 species
GCUCAGUUGGAAGAGCAUGGCGCUUGCUAAUGCUAGGGUUGUGGGUUCGAUUCCCAU